ACGCCGUAGUGCAGCGCGGAGAAGGGCCCGAACUCCGGGUUCGUCGGCGACCAGUCGUAGGUCGCGGUGCGCGCGUUGUGAUCGCGCGUGACGUU
rnacentral:tRNA from 14 species